CUUGAAACCUUUAUUUUUCUCUUUUCACUAAUUUUAAAUACUUUCAUCUGAUCUGAUAUUAUUAUUGUAUAAUUCAUGUCUUUGUCAAGGUAACAGGAAUAUUUUAUAAUUAUUAAUAAUUUCUGUAUGUACUUGUAAAAUUAAUUCGUCGAACGAUACGCAUCGCGAAAGUAUAUUAUUUAAAAGUUUCGCGAGGUAACGCCCCUCGCAAUUACCCGCGUUACGUUCAACAGUAAGACUCUUUCUGUUUUUCCGUGGUAUAAAACCGGGGGGUAAAAAAGGUGGCCAGAGCUCGUUACAAACAAUAAUUGGCCUGCUGACGGUCACGAUACUCUCUCUGAUGGCUCCCUGUGAGGUCUACGGGCAACGGUGUAAGAAUACAAUUACCGCGAUCCCUUAUCAAAUUGGUCACGUUUCGCUCCCACGCAAGCUUCUUCUUGGCCUCGCCGUUGCUUUCAGCCGCGUCGAUAAGAGAAACGUUUCUUUCGAAUCGCGAGCUUUACCUCCAACGUUAGUUACUCUUGUUCUAUUUCGUGCUGUUCCCAUUCCUCUUGUUGAAAAUUGGUCACCGCAAAAGGCCGGUUAAUCAAAGAAAAAAAAAAAAGAAACGAUUGACCUUGAUACCUUCGCGAAUCCCUUUCAGCAGAUACUGAAAUUUCCAUUUUUCGCUUUUAUCGGUAGAAGACAAAGCCUCGCGGUAUAGAGAUAAAAGGGACCGCGGAUUUUCGAAUAUAUGGAGCUUUCGUCCCGCCCUCGAAAAGUGUCGUGUUAAAGUUCAGCUGAAGGGAGAGCAAUAGGGGGUUAAGCGAAGGAACGUAUUCCGUAUGGAAAGCACACGCACGUCACCGUCCUUCUUUUAUAGCACGAUUUCAAAGCUCGUAUAAAGAGAGAAAAGAAAAAAAGAAAGGCGAGAAUAUUUUCAUUUCUUCGGUUGGAGCGAGAAGAGUUGUUUCGCGGUCGCGACGCGUAUAAACGGCUAUAAAUAAUCGUAUUCGCGAAAUACUUUCGCCGAUAGAAAGAGGGAACACAGAUGUUGGCCAAAUGACGGGGGAGGGAAAGAAGAGAAUAUCAGGCGGUCCUCUUGAGUCGCAACCGGGUAAAAAGGAACGUCGGAAUCUUUGCGAUGUCGAAUUAAGGGGUGUCGGAUCGAGGAGAUAUAACAUACAUCGGCGGCGAAACGUUUUUGGUGUUUGCACGCUCGAGCGCGCAAAUAUCGGUCGGCACGAUAAAACAUGCGACACGUUCGAUCACGUGGAAGUUUACAGAUGAAUUGAGCCUGUAAUUCGAUACCCGGCUCUCUCGCAUCUUUCAAACGGGCCGACGUCGUUGAUCUAAAUCGUGGAAGAUAGCCGAAACGGCUUCCAGGCUCUUUUUGUCCUUCCUUUAUUUUCCUUGUUCCGAGGCUUUUGAGAACACGGCCGAACACACCGAUGUUUUUCAACCUUUUGUUACCGAUUCUCUAGGCCGGCGAAUUCGCGAUCCUUUCCCCGCGAUAAGAACGAAAAAUCGCCGCGUAAGCAGAUACUCGAUAAGUCGUCCGUACGGCACGUGAAACGAGUUCAAUCGUACGUUAUCAAUUUUAAGAACGUAACAGGCAGAUAAGAGGGAGCCAGGACGAAAUAAGAGGCAAUUGAAGGAGGAAUGUCUGUAAAGAGCCGCGCGUUCCACAGGACAUGAAUGAACGUGGGGGGCUUCGUUUCCUCGGAAUCGUAUAGGGGUAUAGAGAUGCAGGCAUAUCGUCUAUAGGUCGUUUCUGGCUCUGUUGGAGCAAAGACGAAGGGCAGCAAACACGAGGAUUACGAGAAUGCCCCACCCAUGUUAUACACACUCUUACUGUAUCCUAUAUUUAGAUCCGGUCUUGGAACCUGUCCUAUUUCUGUUUAUUUUCCACCGGUUCGAUGGACAGCCCCUGCCGAAAUCUUCCCUCGCCAAAAAGGGGCUAUAAGUGUUUCUCAAAGGGGCACGCCCGGCUGUAUGCGUGAAUUUACACGAUGUUUUAUUUUAGGCUCGAUCUCGUUAGUGGACCGAAGGAUUCCUUAUCUCGGACUCUCUUUAGCCACGGCCUUCGGGACUCGUCGAAGCUUUACGUUACGAUAACGCUUCUUGUAUAUCACACAUUUCGUUAUGUCAUCUUUUGAACUUGCACUCGUAAGCAUGCGAUAACCGGUUAAUUCGAUAUCAAUGUUUAAAUUUGCUUCUUCAAAAACACAAACGCCUGUUUGUUUAGCUAUAAUUUCCGAAGAAAUGCAUCUCGAGCAUCGUUUCGCUUCAGAGAAAACCAAAUGAUACCUCGUCGAGGUUUUCGUUUCGCAGCCUAGUCCCCGGUGUGUUGGUUCAAUGGUGAAAUGCACCGGGAGCGAGUUUAGGUAGGGCUCCUCUUCCUCUCCGUUUCGUUCUCGCGUGUCUCCGUGGUAGAGCAUCGCCAGUGUGUUCGCCGGGAGGAUAAAGCGGUGGAUGGCGAAGAAGGAAGAGAGAUAGUAGGCGAAGAGGGCAGAGGAAAAGAAAGAACGCGAAGAAGAAAGGAGGAGGGUGCUCGUAGCCUUGACCGUGGCCACCUCUUCAGGGCCAGCGAGCGAGGAGCUUGACGUUCUAGCAGCCUCCAAGGCCAACUGCAUGGAAUCACGCCACCACGAUUCAUUUAAACGGGCCGAACCGAGCCGGUGAUAUCGUUAAAAAGCCCUUCGCGCCCAAUCUUACACAGUUGUAUGUGUACUUUUCAAAAAUUCUCUCGGUUACCUUCAGCUUCCAAUAUAAAACAAUCAAUUGUAAAAUUUCCGCAAAAGCGGCUCGGUUGUCCCAGGUGGUCUCCCUCCAUGGUCCGCGCUCCUUUUACGGCGUUCAAUUAAAAGGAAGAGUUCCAAACGAUGCAUUAUUCCGGAUCUUACGAUCGUUCCACGUAAAAGGGUGGCUCUCGUCGAAAGAAAUAUUCCUCUUUCAACGUGGAACAACGUCGAAUUAUAAAUUCCGAACGACUCCGUUGUAGUAGGAAAAGAGGUUGAACAGGAAGGAAGGAGGGAGGGGUACGGUGGUUGAAACGGUUGAGCGUGCACCCCCCAUCGCCCGAUUCCUCGUUGAUAUUUCGGACGACAUUUUUCCAGGGAAGCAAUUCGAAUUUAUGCCGCUCGUGAUUCUUUUUUCAUCCAAACUGCUGCUUGCCCGAUCACCCUCGCGUUACGACACACAUAUAGAGACAUUUUGGCGCCGCAACGCGACCUAUAAAUCCCACUUUCACUGAAGUGCGACGAGACCAAGGGUUUCUCCCCCUGCGCGCGUUACUCGCGUUUUAACCAAAAAUAAAUUACGUUGGAAGGCAGUGUUCCGCAGCCGUUCCCAAACGGAGAGAAAAAUCCGACCGUUCGUCUCUCUUCGAAUUCCGUUUCUCCUACGGUGUCGCGUCGCGUCGUCGGAAAGAGUAAGAGUGUGUAUCGCGUUUGCAGAGAAGAAUAUUUUCCAGCUAGGGGGCGGACUCCUUAUUUCGCUCCCGUUUUACGAUCUCAUUACGCCUCGCGUUCACGAGAGAGGCUACGCGGCUUACAUAUAUAUCGAGGCAUUCACGUCGAGAGAAACUUUGAUGAUUUACGCUCGCUAGAAUUCUACUAUCGCUUUGAGGGAUCGAGGAGAGACGGGCUGUUUCGAAAGGUUCAAAGGGAGUGACAAACGAGUGGAUGAUCGCGAAAGGGGGAGGCGUGUUACGGUAAAUAAGGGAUGCACGAGCUAAUGGGAAUUCAUCUUUGCUUCCGAAAUCGCGGUUGCCCGGCCACCCCUCUAGCUUGUAAUUAAAAAACACCUGGGGUUUGAAACAAAGGCAAACAGAGAGAGAAAGAGAUAGUCAGCGGGUGUACAAAGAACGCGAUUCCAUGGAUUUCGAGGGAGAUACCUUGAAGAUACGAAGAUUUAGAUAUCCCGAUUGCCGAGCUUGUAGGUAUAGAAGGCCGCAAGCCAGGAAACGACGAGAGGAUGGCACUCGACCGAAGAAUUAUUGAAUUUCCGGCGAACCGGUGAAAUUCCGGGCGCGCUUUCCAGUUUAAUUCGGCGCGUUCGGAGGGGCAAUAUUGUCCAAAGGGGGGGUGGAAAACGUUUCGAGGAAAUUUCUCGAAUUCUUUCGAAUAUUUCGUUUACUCGACGGGAAACACGCUCGUUCGGGAAUAACUCCGUGGAACGAAGUUUUUUGCCGAGUUCGCGAAGCCCUUCUUCUCCCUCACGGUUUGCUAUGCAUAACUGCCCGGUGAACCGCGUUCCCGUGCACCUGCGAAUAUUUUCACCGUCCAUCUAAAGUUGCGCCUCGUUCCUCGAGAUCGACGCGUGUCUAAGCUUACCAGAUAGAUGCUGAUAAAAAGCUGUGGGUAUGCGUGUCUAUGGCAAACGGUGGCUCGAGUUCCGGGGCAGUUGCUGCGUCAGGGCGAAUUCGAGCGAGGGAAGACGAAGAAAGGGUUGCGUGGAAAUGUAAAACAAUUAAACGUACCGAGGAACGACGAUGAAAUAGAUGCGGGUUUUACGGGAAUUCAAUUCCUGCCGGUGGUUAGCGUCGUUUUCCGAAACAUCGCCGUUCACCGAUAUUAUUCUUUAAUUGCGCGCCGCUGCUCGUGAACGGCAUGCAAACGCGUAACGAGGUAAAUUGUAGCCGCCGGCUGUCGAAUUAUACUCGCACGAUCGCGUUUAAUCGCACGAUAAUUGCUAACGGGGAGGCGAAGCUACGUUAUUAACGUCGCCGCCCCUCGAUCCGUCCUUCUGAAAGCCUAGAAUACGUUCGCGUGUACGCGUCUCGGUACACCUUUCGUUAGCAGUAACGGAGAAAUGGCAAGCAACUGGUUAAAUCGGAACGCAAACAAUGCGAAAAGUUAUUCCGAUGAUCGGCGAAUCGAUUCGUAAAAGAUUCUAUUUUUGGUUAUCGGCGAUUCGAUUAACCUCGCCGUUCUCCGAUCGCGAACAGUUUACGAAACGGCAUGGAACAACUUCGUAACCGAUAUGGGUGCCCCUCUGAUUCGCGAAUGCAUAAUGAUCGAGUCGAAAUGUCAGGGUUAACCAGGGGUCCAGUGUAUUUGUGUAGCCGAAACGCCGGAAAUGAACGAAAAGUGUUUUUUUUCUUUUUAAUUUACUACGUUCGCGAAAUACACGUGUGAUAAAUAUUCAGCUGUUCGUCAACACUUUCAUGGUCACACGUUUCGUUGGAUCUAUAAUUCAUGUUUAGUCAUUUUUUCUUUACAUCUCUCAAGGAGUUCAUUGAUAACGGGAUUAAAAAGUAAAGGGUGUUGCAAGGUAAUCGUCUAGAAAACGGAAGUGAUUAUUUAUCAGAGGGGAUGUUUGCGAUCCGUCUGCUCCCCGCGUGCCGGCUCACGGAAGCUUUGUCGCGUGGUCUAGGGUGGAAAACAGUCGUUACGUGGAAUCGCGAAGUAAUA